GAUGAAGAACGUAGCGAAAUGCGAUACGUAAUGUGAAUUGCAGAAUUCAGUGAAUCAUCGAAUCUUUGAACGCACAUUGCACUCUCUGGUAUUCCGGAGAGUAUGCUUGUUUGAGUAUCAGUAAACACCUCAAAUCUCUUGUUUCUUGUGAAUAAGAGAAUUGGACUUGAGCAAUCCCAACUCUUGCAAAAGAGGCGGGUUGCUUGAAAUGCAGGUGCAGCUGGACAUUCUUCUGAGCUAAAAGCAUAUUUAUUUAGUCCCGUAAAACGGAUUAUUACUUUUGCUGCAGCUAACAUAAAGGUUGAAUGGCCAAUAUGGCUGACUGAUGCAGGAUUAACAGAGAAUUUAUUCUUUGUAAACUCGAUCUCAAAUCAAGUAAGACUACCCGCUGAACUUAAGCAUAUCAAAAGCGGAGGA
rnacentral:misc_RNA from 1 species